rnacentral:rRNA from 1 species
UACGGGGGGGGCAAGCGUUGUUCGGAAUUACUGGGCGUAAAGGGCUCGUAGGCGGCCAACUAAGUCGGAUGUGAAAUCCCCAAGCUUAACUUGGGAACUGCAUCCGAUACUGGAUGGCUUGAAUUCGGGAGAGGGAUGCAGAAUUCCAGGUGUAGCGGUGAAAUGCGUAGAUAUCUGGAGGAAUACCGGUGGCGAAGGCGGCAUCCUGGACCGGCAUUGACGCUGAGGAGCGAAAGCUAGGGGAGCAAACGGG